ACCGCGAUAGCUCAGUUGGUAGAGAAUCUGCUCGAUAUGCGGAGUGUCGCUGGUUCGAUUCCGGCUGGCGGUG
rnacentral:tRNA from 1 species